GAUAUACUCCCUCCGUUCCAAAUUACUCGUCGCUGAAAUGGAUGUAUCUAGAACUAAAAUACAUCUAGAUACAUCCAUACGUACGACAAGUAAUUCGGAACGGAGGGAGUAUAUU
rnacentral:pre_miRNA from 1 species